rnacentral:piRNA from 1 species
UUCACUCAAAGCUUCGCAAUA